AUCCGGACGGGUGAGUAACACGUGGGUAACCUGCCCUGCACAGGGGGAUAACACCUGGAAACAGGUGCUAAAACCGCAUAAGCGCACAGAGGCGCAUGCCUCAGUGUGAAAAACUCCGGUGGUGCAGGAUGGACCCGCGUCUGAUUAGGCAGUUGGCGGGGUAACGGCCCACCAAACCGACGAUCAGUAGCCGGCCUGAGAGGGUGGACGGCCACAUUGGGACUGAGACACGGCCCAAACUCCUACGGGAGGCAGCAGUGGGGAAUAUUGCACAAUGGGGGAAACCCUGAUGCAGCGACGCCGCGUGGGGGAGGAAGGUCUUCGGAUUGUAAACCCCCUGUCAUGCAGGAGCAAGGCGAGAGUUGAUAGUACUGCAAGAGGAAGAGACGGCAAACUCUGUGCCAGCAGCCGCGGUAAUACAGAGGUCUCAAGCGUUGUUCGGAAUCACUGGGCGUAAAGGGUACGUAGGCGGCGGGGCAAGUUGCGCGUGAAAGGCAGGGGCUCAACCUCUGGAAUGCGCGUGAAACUACCCUGCUAGAGCGAUAGAGGGGGAACCGGAAUUCUUGGUGUAGCAGUGAAAUGCGUAGAUAUCAAGAAGAAGACUCGUGGCGAAGGCGGGUUCCUGGACAUGAGCUGACGCUGAGGUACGAAGGUCAGGGUAGCGAAAGGGAUUAGAUACCCCUGUAGUCCUGGCAGUAAACGGUGCACGCUUGGUGUGGGAGGAAUCGACCCCUUCCGUGCCGAAGCCAACGCGAUAAGCGUGCCGCCUGGGGAGUACGGUCGCAAGAUUAAAACUCAAAGAAAUUGACGGGGACCCGCACAAGCGGUGGAGUAUGUGGCUUAAUUCGAUGCAACGCGAAGAACCUUACCAAGUCUUGACAUCUGGAUGACAGAGCAUGUAAAGUGCUUUCUCUUCGGAGCAUCCAAGACAGGUGGUGCAUGGUUGUCGUCAGCUCGUGUCGUGAGAUGUUGGGUUAAGUCCCGCAACGGGCGCAACCCUUAUUCCUAGUAGCCAGCGGAUAAGCCGGGCACUCUAGGGAGACUGCCGGGGAUAACCCGGAGGAAGGUGGGGAUGACGUCAAAUCAUCAUGCCCCUUAUGAUUUGGGCUACACACGUGCUACAAUGGCGUAAACAAAGGGAAGCGAACCUGCGAGGGGGAGCGAAACCCAAAAAUAACGUCCCAGUUCGGACUGCAGUCUGCAACCCGACUGCACGAAGCUGGAAUCGCUAGUAAUCGCGGAUCAGAAUGCCGCGGUGAAUACGUUCCCGGGUCUUGUACACACCGCCCGUCACACCAUGGGAGUCGGAAAUGCCCGAAGUCUGUGACCUAACCGAAAGGGGGGAGCAGCCGAAGGCAGGUCGGAUGACUGGGGUGAAGUCGUAACAAGGUAG
rnacentral:rRNA from 1 species